GUAACUAUAACGGUCCUAAGGUAGCGAAAUUCCUUGUCGGUUAAAUACCGACCUGCAUGAAUGGCGUAACGAGAUGGGAGCUGUCUCAACCAGAGAUUCAGUGAAAUUGUAGUGGAGGUGAAAAUUCCUCCUACCCGCGGCAAGACGGAAAGACCCCGUGGACCUUUACUACAACUUAGCACUGCUAAUGGGAAUAUCAUGCGCAGGAUAGGUGGGAGGCUUUGAAGUAAGGGCUUUGGCUCUUAUGGAGCCAUCCUUGAGAUACCACCCUUGAUGUUUC
rnacentral:rRNA from 1 species